rnacentral:rRNA from 1 species
CUGGCGGCGUGCCUAACACAUGCAAGUCGAACGGAGUCGGCCCCGCAAGGGACUGACUUAGUGGCGCACGGGUGAGUAACACGUGUGCAACCAACCCCGUACCGGGAGAUAACCCGCGGAAACGUGGACUAACACCCCAUAACACCUUUCCCCCGCAUGGGGGAGAGUUUAAAAUCACGAUGGUACGGGACGGGCACGCGCGACAUUAGGUAGUUGGCGGGGUAACGGCCCACCAAGCCGACGAUGUCUAGGGGUUCUGAGAGGAAGGUCCCCACACUGGAACUGAGACACGGUCCAGACUCC